UCUUGUUGAUCGACGUCCGCGGGGCUUCCACGGGAAAUCCGCAGUAUUCUGGGGAGAAAGGUUGAGGAAAUAUUCCUCGCAGCGCUUUUGUUUUAUUUCCGAUGCAUCGUGUGUGUCGUAUGUUAUGAGAGCCGAUGAGCCAAUCUCUCUGUUUGGUGACAACUGCUGUCAGCAGCUAAAACGACUUUGUUUGCAAAUAUAAUACGUCAACUGCAACGAAUGCAACGUCGAGAGAGUGAAGGAUAAUUUUAUUCGCAAUUUAGUUUCUUCGAAUAAAUAAUUAAAUAUUUACAGGGAGUGGAAAGACGAGAUUUUUUUAUAAAGUUAUCCAAGCUAAUUAUUCUUUGUUUGUCAUUAGAUUGUCGAUGUUACGAAAAUUAAAUUGUAAAUUACAUUAAAUUUUUACUAUUGUCAUAGGAUUAUCAACAUAUUGAAAAUUAAAUUGUAAACAUCACAAACUUUGCACGUGGACUAAGAGAUUAGAUUAUUUUAUAAUCAAGAUCAUUAAUUGCAAAUUUUCUUAAAAAUAAUUCUUUGACAAUUUGAACAUCAUAAAAAAAUCCUUCAAGUUUCUAAAGAUUUCUUUUAUUUUUCAGUGAAAUAAGGAAUGAAUUGUAAAUAUUGCAUUCUAUUAUAGAAUUAUAGAUAAUUAUUUCUUAUUGCAUAUAAGAAGUUAAGGAAUGAAGUGUCGAGUGAUUGCAUGAUUAUAAUGAUUUUGAUUUGUUUUCCUGGAAAAACAUGUUUCAUGAAUAUUCAUUCUCUCUGAGAAUCAAGUUUUCAAAUCACUGUAUAUUUUUAAAUCUUGAAGGUAAAGAAAAUGUUAUUUGCUGGAUUCUUUCAAUAGUGUGCAAUAUUCUGCAUAAUAUGUUUAUACAAAGUUUAGCAGAUGUAAUAUUCGGCAUUGUUUAUAAUUUAGAAGAGAAAUAAAGAAUUUUUCAGAGUGAUGUUAAAUGAAACUGCUAAAAACAUGGAUAAGAUAAUAUGUCAUUUUAUUUUUGAUCACAUGACAUAUCAAUACAUGUUCUAUUGAUGCAUGUCAAGGUAUAUAUAUUUCUGUGUAUGUUUUCUGAAGGCAAUGAUAAACUGAGAUAGUAAUGUUCUGGGUUAUCGGGCCAAGUUGUACUCUUAGGUCAAGCUGUACUCAAUUGAAGAAAUAUGGAAGAUGUUACUGCGCAGCAGAUUUCUAUUUUUAAAUAUAUAAAAUAUAUACUUUUCAGUUUUAUAUUAAAAUAACAAAA